rnacentral:rRNA from 1 species
CGAAGGGUGCAAGCGUUAGUCGGAAUUACUGGGCGUAAAGCGUGUGUAGGCGGUUUCUAAGUCUGCCGUGAAAGCCCCGGGCUCAACCUGGGAAUGGCGGUGGAUACUGGAAAGCUGGAGUGCGGUAGAGGAGGGUGGAAUUCCCGGUGUAGCGGUGAAAUGCGUAGAGAUCGGGAGGAACAUCAGUGGCGAAGGCGGCCCUCUGGACCAGCACUGACGCUGAGGCACGAAAGCGUGGGGAGCAAACAGGAUUAGAUACCCUGGUAGUCCACGCCCUAAACGAUGCGAACUGGACGUUGGGCACAACUCGGUGCUCAGUGUCGAAGCUAACGCGUUAAGUUCGCCGCCUGGGGAGUACGCUCGCAAGAGUG